CCUACGGGAGGCAGCAGUAGGGAAUAUUGGGCAAUGGAGGCAACUCUGACCCAGCCAUGCCGCGUGCAGGAUGAAGGCGUUAUGCGUUGUAAACUGCUUUUAUAUAGGAAGAAAGAGUUCUUGCGAGAACAGUUGACGGUACUAUAUGAAUAAGCACCGGCUAACUCCGUGCCAGCAGCCGCGGUAAUACGGAGGGUGCAAGCGUUGUCCGGAUUUAUGGGUUUAAAGGGUGCGUAGGCGGUUUAUUAAGUCAGUGGUGAAAGACGGUCGCUCAACGAUUGCAGUGCCAUUGAUACUGGUAGACUUGAGUGAGAUUGAGGUAGCUGGAAUGGAUAGUGUAGCGGUGAAAUGCAUAGAUAUUAUCCAGAACACCAAUUGCGUAGGCAAGUUACUAAGUCUCAACUGACGCUGAGGCACGAAAGUGUGGGUAUCAAACAGGAUUAGAUACCCUGGUAGUCCACACUGUAAACGNUGAUAACUACUGUGUCUUUCGGUCUAGUGUAGAGAGAAGUACGUUAAGUUAGUUACCGUAACCGUGGGUAGGUUACGCCGGUCGACGGUUAGUAACGUUACGAAGGAAGUUAGACGGCGNGAGACGNGCGACGGACGACGACGAGGGAGGAGG
rnacentral:rRNA from 1 species